rnacentral:rRNA from 1 species
UACGGAGGGGGCAAGCGUUAUUCGGAAUUAUUGGGCGUAAAGGGCGCGUAGGCGGCUAGAUGUGUCAAAGGUGAAAUCCCUCGGCUCAACUGAGGAACUGCCUUUGAAACUGUCUGGCUUGAGGCCGGGAGAGGGUAGCGGAAUUCCCAGUGUAGCGGUGAAAUGCGUAGAUAUCUGGAGGAACACCGGUGGCGAAGGCGGCAUCCUGGACCGGCAUUGAUGCUGAGGAGCGAAAGCCAGGGGAGCAAACGGG